CCCUCAUAACCAAAGGCAGAAGGAUUAUUAACUAUUUCUCCAGCCAGAAGCUCAAAUGGAACCUUGGUAUAAGGACACUCAUCCAGCAGAUAGAAAGUGAGGGAGUUUUGACCAACAACAAGGUUGGCACAGCAGCCAUACUUCUCAUGAUGAAGUAUUACAAGGAAGAUGAAGACUCCCUCUUUGUCUUAGCAGAUGAAACAUCUACCAGGAUGUCCCUUGAAGCAGAGAGCAACCUGCCAAUCACUCCAAGGCUGAUUAUGCUUGAUGAUCCAUGGCCCAUGCUUUCUGGACAUUUACACAAGACGAACAACAAAGAAGACAAGCUCUCUCGCCAUCUUGCAAGACGCUGUCUCUGUCCAAUAGGUUUUUUGAGUGCAACAGUUUUGAUUUUUUUUUUCCUUCUUUUACCCGUUUGUUAAAAAUUAUUUCAGCUACUUACACUUUAAUUGUCACAUGUAUUGGCUCACCCUACAAAUCAAUGAACUCAGUCCA